UCUCCGUUGGUGAACCAGCGGAGGGAUCAUUGCUGGAACUGUGUCCGCAAGGACACAACCCCAGAUACCCUUUGUGAACUUAUUCUUAUAUCGUUGCCUCGGCGCUGAGCUGGGGGCUUCUUUCCAAGGAGCUCUCCCAUGGUCUCUCGGGACGAUGGAGCAAGCCCGCCGGCGGCCCCUACCAAACCUCUUGUUUUUACAGUGUCUCCUCUGAGUUACAAACACAAAUGAAUCAAAACUUUCAACAACGGAUCUCUUGGUUCUGGCAUCGAUGAAGAACGCAGC
rnacentral:misc_RNA from 1 species